CCGCCGGGCGCGGCGCGGGCGAUGCGGGGAGCCACGGCCCCGCGCGGAGUUAAGGGGUCCCCGCCGGCCCCGCUGCGUGAGGGGACGCCUCGGCUCCUCAUCGCGAGGCCGCGGUGCGAGCCCCCUCCUCGGCCGUAGCCUUCCCGCCCGGCUCUGCCUGCCGGGCCGUAUUCACCCCUCAGCGAUUUAUCCCGCCAGUUAAUGUUUUAUUGCUCCGCGCUCGAAGAGCGGCCAUAAACGCGAGCCCGGCCCCCGGGGCCGCCCACAGGGAGGCGGGCGGGCCCCGCCGGCCGGAGCGAAGGCCGGCACCUCAGCGCCCGGCAUGUGGCGGAGGGGGUUCCCGCCGAGGGCCGCGGCUCCCAGCGCGCCGUCGCCCGCCAUCGAGUUUCCUGAGGAGAGCCCGGAGCCGCGCUUUGACGAAUCGGAUGUGCCGGCGGAGCUGCGAGUUGCAAACGGGUCGCAAAAGUUUGUGAAUUUCACUUCGACCAUCCAAAACCAGCUGCUGCUUGUGUCGCUGCUGGAGCAUCUCUGCCACAUGUACACACACAACCCUGUUCAUUCGAGGUGUUUGUUCCGAAUACUUCGUCAGGCUUUUACAAGAACAGGGUUGCUCUCCCCUUUCGCGUUCUGUGAUGAAUUUAGUACUGUAAGACUGCAGCAUAAUAGAGCCAUCACCGAACUAAUGAAAGCAGCUAAUCGACAAAUACUUAAUGGGGAACUUGAUAAUGGAGAUUCUCAUGCAAUUGGGGGAAAAGAAGUUCUCUUUGAAGCACAGACUUCACGAUACUUGAAUGAAUUUGAUGAGGUUGCAAGGCUAGGAAAAGGAGGAUAUGGUAAAGUAUACAAGGUCAGAAACAAGUUAGAUGGUCAGUUCUAUGCUAUUAAAAAAAUUAACAUUAAGAAGGCUACAAGAAGAGAUUGCAUGAAGGUGCUACGAGAAGUUAAAGUGCUGGCUGGGCUGCAGCAUCCUAACAUUGUAGGCUAUCACACUGCUUGGAUGGAACAAGUUCAAACAGUAUGCCCAAAAGAUAAAACAAUAAUGGAGUUGCAGCCAUUAUCUUUGGAGCAAGAGAGUAGCAAUGAUGACUGUCACAUACAAAGUGUGGAAAGUGGUAGUUCAAUUAUCUUUGCUGACCUUACUUCACAAGAAAAGAAGUCCUGUGACAGUACCAGUCUUAGAAAUCUGGGUAGUGAAUCAGUACAGAAUAUGUGCGUAAGGAAUGAUUUUACAAACAGCAAUAGUAAAGAGUUUAUGAAACCAGAUAAAUGUGAGUUACCCAUGGAAUUACAAGAAGACUCUGUAAGCAGUGUUAGCAGUAGAUCAACUGAUGUGAAAAAUCAUCCUGCACGGGGACCUCAUUGUCGUCUGGAUCAAGAUGCUAGCACUGAAAGUAAGUCCUGCACUGAAGAAUGCUCCAAGAAUGAUGUGGCGCUCUGUGGAGACUUUGAGGUGGAGUAUCGUUUGAUGCUUCAUAUACAAAUGCAACUGUGUGAAAUAUCCUUGUGGGACUGGAUUGUUGACCGUAAUAAAAGAUGCAAUGAGAGAACAGAGGAAACUUCCAGUCCAUACCAUCUUGUCGAUGUCCGCUGGACAAUGAAAAUUUUUCAAGAGUUACUGGAAGGAGUAUGCUAUAUCCACAGCAUGGGAGUGAUGCAUCGAGACAUUAAACCCAGAAAUAUAUUCCUACAUGGAUCAGAUCAUCAUGUAAAAAUAGGAGACUUUGGAUUAGCCUGCAAAGACCUUCUUUGGGAUGAUGCAGACCAGUGGUUUAAGACAGAAAGGAUAAAUGGGUUGACGCAUACUUCAGGAGUGGGGACUUGCCUCUAUGCCUCACCAGAACAAUUGCAGGGAUCCCACUAUGAUUUCAAGACAUGUACAGCAUGGGUGUUAUCCUGCUAGAACUCUUUCAACCGUUUGGAACAGAAAUGGAAAGAACAGAAGUUCUUACACAUUUAAGGAAUGGCCAAAUUCCUCAUACUUUCUACAAAAAAUGGCCUAUUCAAGCCAAGUAUGUUAAACUCCUCACCAGUCAGAGAUCUACAGAAAGACCAACUGCUGCUCAGCUGCGUGAAAGUGAACUAUUUCAUACAGCAGAACAUGUUAUUUCUAACCUACAACAGAAGGUGAAACAGCAAGAGGAAGAAAUAGAGAAACUGAGAGAGAGAAUAAGACUGCUUUCUGAAGAACAAGGUGAACAUAUGAGGCUAGGUUCUCCUGUUUAAGUACAGGAAGAACUAACCUCUAUUGUAUGCUAAGUUAUAUAAAAUGUUUCUUUUUUUUACAUAAAAAUAUUUCAAUGCA